GGUAGGGGCCACGAAUUGGUGCGAGGUGAUUUAUUCCAGUGGGGAGCCGUUGCCUGUGCACUAGCUCUCUUUGCCGAUGUGUAGGGUGGCAGGGUCUCUCCUUCGCCCCCUGUCCCUGCUCCCCUCCCUUCCCAAGGUCCGCAAUGUAAUGUGUAAGCAAUAGCAAAUGUAACAGUUCAUAAAUCAAACAGUGGGUCGCAAGCCAAUCUGCAUUUCCCAAACGGAUUGAAUCCCAGCAACGAAUGUGCUCAAGAACUGGAGCCAGGCGCCUUUACCACUGGAAGCAAUGUUGAUUUUUUAAUGAUAAAAUACAUUAUGCGCGUGUUAGGGGGGCUUUGCAGAGCUCAGCCUCGCUUCGGCAGACACAGGUCUGCUUGAAUUUCGUUUUCCUUUGGCCUCCCUCUAGACUCAGUCCCCACCACCACCAAAGAAAAAGGAAAACCCUGGAGAGCAGAGCUUUGUUUAAAUGGUUUGGGUUAUUUUCCCUCCCCACAGAGGAUCUAGACCUAAAUUGAUUUUUCUGUGCACAUCUCUGUAUUCAUGAGGUCAGGCGCUGCUGUUAUGGUUUCCCUGUAGCACGAAAUGCCAGAUGCCGAGGAGAGACGGAAGAGAGAGCCCUUGCUGGGGUACGGGGGGCUUGGCAGCCUGCUGUCUACGCCGGCUUGGGCCCCGGGGACCCCCGCCAGCGGCAGCCCCUCUCCGCCCCGGGGUUCCCGGGCGCAGGUCCCGCCCGCUGCCGGCAUUCCCGCCGCCGCCCCCGCCUUCCCGGCUGCUGGACGGUGCCCAUCCGUCGAAGAAAGGUGGAAGGGAACCUCCCAGCUUUCCAUCUCACCCCUCAGAAGAAAGCUGAGGGGGCGUAAUAAGGGGACGAUUUCCAGCUCGUUAAAGGACUCGAGUUAUCUUCGCGUGAGGUUCUAUUACAAAUGGAUAAUCUCUCCGUAAUUAGCACAUCCCCCAAUUAGCCCUCCAUCGAGGAGGAUAAUAAACGGUGGCAAACCGGGGAAAAAUAGCCCAGUGGGUUGAGAAGAAGCCCUGUGGUCUUGCCCGGGUCCCUUCCCUCCCCUCCUGCCUUCCCCUGGACUCUCCUAUCUGGGGCUUCUAAUUUUCGGCUGCUCAUCCCCGGGGCGCAGACCAGCCACCGGGCCUCCCGGGCUAACCUAGCAGCACACCGGGAUUUCCUGCACAGACGGCAGGGAGUGUAGCCCCGGUCCCGCCGGCUCCGCUCCUCCUGGGCAACUGGCGAGCGAGGCACUCUCCGCCGGCAGCUCCGUGGUUUUUUUUCGGGGAACAUAAGCAGAAUGAACUCCCCCUCACCUUCCUCCCGUUCAUUCUAUAGAGCCCCUCAAUGCGCGAGGCAUUGGUUGUUCCCUUUUCUGCCCCUUCCAGGGUUAUUUCUGAAGCCUGAGAGCAAUGGUCGAUUAUAUAUAUAUAUAUAUAUUUUUUUUUCUGACCCUAGGAGCGGUUGCUCUGCCUUGCCUUGUUGUGUGGCCAAGGAAACAUGAGCCGUCCGCCAAGUCCCAGAAAGGGACUGAGUGUACUGGAUUUGCCUCCUGCCGCCUUGCACCUGUAGGGUUUGUAAGGGCUGCGGGGGAAGGCUGGGGCGUCGCUUGCCAGGCUGGUCCCACUGCCCCAGGCAGCAGCUGCUGUAGCAAGAGCUGGAAGAGGUUCAAACUUCUGAACAUCCCUUCUUAACUCCUGGGCAAACGUGAGCUGGUGAACUGAAGAGGGGGGAAAAAUGCAAUAGAAAAGCGUUUAAAUGUUGACAGAGACCACAGUAAAAUUAUCCCCUGCUUAAAAAAAAAAAAAAAAUCACACACACACACACAAAAGGCAUAAAUGCAGAUCAACAGGGAAAAAAAUCACAGUCAGAACAAAAAACAAGACAAGAGCAUUUCUAGCUGGCUGGAUAAUCGGAAGGCUUGCAGCCAUUGCGGCUCUGCCUGCCCUAAUUCCUGUCCCCAGCUCCGACUGAGCAACCGCAGCCCCGCAGUCCCCGGAGGGCCGCGGGGAGCUGGCUCCUUCCCCGGCAGCGCUGGAUGCACCCGUGCUUGGCAGGCGGCUGCUCUCCUCCUGCCUCCCCCUUUUAGCAGCCUGGAUGAGCCCUGAAGGCAGGGCUGAGCCUUGCCCCUGCCUGGGCUGCCCUCUGCCACGGCAAGACCGUGCCAGCACUGGGCUGAGGUGGUGGCGGUCGAUUCUUUUUGCUUUAAAGGGAGGAAAAAAAAAAAUAGGUCCUUUCCCAUCUGUUCAAAGGCUGUAACAGGGAGAUGGAGCUGGCCUGUGCUGGGAGAAAAAGCUUGAAUACAAACAUACAAAACUGAGGAAAACCUAGAUAUGAAUGGUAGUGAAGGCAGAGUGAUUGGUGCUUACAGAGGGAGCAGGGAGGUAUGGUAUAAAAGUAAGCUGCAGUACUCACUUCACAGGACUUUCUGGUGGCUAUGUCUGUGUAUUGGAAGAAGCAGUCAGAUACUGUUGGUCCCUGGCUCAUUUGCACAGUCUAGGGAUGAAUAGAUUGGUGACUCUUCAAGCCCACUUCCUCUUCAGGGCCCUUUUAAAAUCUGUGCAGCUGCUGUCCUGCCCAGUGAAACCCAGUAGAUUCUGUGAAGGGCUGACAACCUAAGGAGAGAGACGCCAGUUCAGCCUUCCUAUUCAUCAGGGCUGAUUCAUUAAUGAUUAGUGCCAUUAGGUCUACUACAGCAGUGCCUGAGGGCCCCAAUUAAGGGAAAGUGAGCUUGUUAAAUCCAGAAAGCCAGAUUUUCCCUCUGUUACUCCUGCCUGAUGCGGAGGUAGUGCCUCCAGGGUGGGCAGCAAGAAUAACCCUGGCUUUCUAGGUAUGCAGCCUCUGUACCUUUCCCCCUCCCUUCUUCCUCUUUUCUCUCUCUUUCACCUUAGCUGCAGAUCCUGCUUACAGAGUGCUGUAGAGUGAGGCUAGUGCAGGAGUUGGCUAGCAGGACUUGCAGGAGGAGGUGUCAAAUCAGGUUAUUUUCCUGAGCCACUUCUUUUUUCAUCACAAGUGGGUUUGGGUGGGUUUUUUUGGUUUAUUGAGAUUUUUUUGUGGCUUUUUUUUUUGGCAGGGUUGGGGGCAGGCAAAGUGAUGGGGACUGCAGAGGAGUCUGUUACAAAAUCAGAUACGAUUUUAGCUGUCUGAAAGAGUUCCUUUAGGCUACAGGCAGCUGAUGAUCAAUGGUGCUGUUGGCAAAUGUGCUUCCAGCUGGCUGCUGCCUCUCUUGAGGGACAGUUUUAACCCCAAGGCUCAUUGCAAUGGUGAUACGGCAAGGGGCUUUCAUUUGCUUUGGGCUAAGGAUCUUCUGCUGCCCAGUUCAACCAGUGAGAAGAAAAACUGGAGGUGAUGUAGGAGAGUGACAACAGCACUAUUAUUGGUGAGUUACUGGCUGUUCCUUUCCCCUCGAAUUCCCACGGUGGGUCUGUAUUAAAAGGUUUUGCUCAAAGCCCCAUACUCUUAAACUGUGGGUUUGCUAACAGAUGGACAGACUGCGCUAGCAAAGGGCUUUGCCUUUCAGGAGGUACUGAAGAAACAGGUUUAAGUGGAUCGAAUUAUCAGAAACCCAGCCUGUGGCCUGUGCCCUAGCUUUUUAGGCUUUAUUGUUUGUUUUAUUUUGUUUGUUUGUUUGUUUGCUUAUCUCCAAAGCUGAUAUAAAAGAAAGACGGAAAGAAAGAAAAAAAGAAAGAAAGCCUCCCGAAGGUCAAGGUGAGACUGACCAUCAUCUGAGUGCUGGUAUUCACCAACAGCAAUAAACCCCUGUCCCCAGGUGCUGGAAGUCUCUUCAGAAAAAACCCCACAACAUUACUGCAGGGGCAAACAACUCAUCCUGACCUUUACACAGCCAUUCUUUGGGAAAAAGUAUCACCUGAAGUCAAUAUGCAUUCUGCCUAGCUUUCUUCAGAAGAAAAAUGCCUGGAUUGAAGUGAUAACAACAAAUAAUAGGUGUUGGUGAUUUGCACUCUCUCCAACUAAAUCAGGUAUCUGGCACAUCAAUACUUAGAAGGCUUAGGAGAAGAGGAAAACAUCAAUAUUUCACUGAACACAUGAAGUCACACAGCUCCCCAGAACUCCCAGUCUCCAUUUUAAUGUCCACUGUGGCUAGUUUGUUUUGUUUUUUGUUUUGUUUUGUUUUGUUUUCUGUCAGAUGACUGAUUUCAGUUUCUCUCUGAAUCCCACCUGUGUGAAUAGCUUGUUUUUCUCCCUAGCAAGUGUUAACAAGGAACUGCAAGGGUUUUGUUCAGGCUCACCAGUCAGGCAGCCCUGAGGUGGCUGACUUCUAGGAAAAGCCACAGCAGGAACAAGCCAGAGCCAGCCUACGCACCAGACACAGCUUUUGCUGGUCUUUAGUUUAUGUUCCAGCUCCUGCUCGAGUUAAACGGAUCGCCGUUAGCAACUGUAAUACAGACAAACACAAGGAAGAACAAGCUGGACGCUUCAUUGUGGAGCUGCGCUUGGAAGUGAUGGCCCAUUGUAACGCAGACUCACCCACCACAGUGGAGCUGAGCCAGCUCAUGGCAAUUUAGGACUUGCUCCUCUCUUUUUACUCCAUGCUCUGAAGUUCCCGGUCUCAUCCUUUGUGUGAACUGGAUCAUGCAAAUGGGGGCACUGAAGUCACAGGGAAGUUGAGCAGAGUUCUGCAUGAGCACUGGCAUGAGAAGGAGCAGCAAUUAGCUCUAAACUCACUCUGCUGGCCUGUCAUUUCUGAGCUCUACCCCUGCUGCUCUAUAACUGGAAGACUUUCACUCUAGAAGAUGGGGAGAAGAACAUUUUACUCAUGCUCAUAUUAAUCAAGUCAUCUUAUGAGCUGCUGAAUCUGUGAAAUUGUAUCUCCUGUGGAGUUCAGUGGUAAUGACUGUCUCUGAUGUGGACUCUCUGGUGUCUAAUAAUACAGUUUUGUUUCUGCAGUGGAUGCACUCCCAGAAUUUUUUCUCCUCUGCCUGCCUACUUCCACAGCACAUGUAGGCUGCUGAAACCUCUGAGACUUCUAUCCCCUGUCAAGUUUGAUCAAACUCAGCUCACAGGCUCAAAAAAUUAUUUAGGAGGGACCGACUGGCACUUGCACAAGACAGUGUGAUCUCAUAAGCUUCCUUUGCUUGGGAAACUAGGCUACCAGCCUAGCAACAGGGGGAAAAAAUGCCAUCCUGCUAGAAAAAAGGACCUAAACACUGGGAGGAAAGAGGGGAGGUGGGAAAGUGAAGCUGUUUUGAAGGGAAAAAAAUAACUGCCUUGUGGAUACAGAGUUCUCAUACACUUAAAGGGCCAACCUUGGAGACACAUGCUGGAGAAAAUAUUCUCCAGGAGAUGAUAAGCUCUCUUGUGAAAAUUGGUAAGGGAGAGAAAUCACAUGGACUCAUCUCACCACCAGGCAUGCUAAAUGGAUAUCUGUAUGGUAAAGAUUGUCCCCAGUGGUAUCUGUUUCCCUCUGUGGACUAGAGGAAGCCACAGACACAGCUAGCAUGCAACUCAUGUACCUGCAGUAUCUAAAACAAGGUGGAUCCUAUCCCAAAGGGAAUGGUCUUCUUACCGCUAUGUCCUUCAGACCAAAGUUUUCCAUGGUGCUGCUGCAGGUUUUGUUACUUCAUGUACUACAUUUGUAUGUUAGAAAAGCUGCUUUGUGUCUUAAUAGCUGCAGAUGUAUGCAUGGUUUUACUGGGCAUUUAUUAGCACUUACCCUCUUUGCACUAAAACCUUUCUUGUCCUUGUACCUUAUGGAAUAAAAUUCUUUAAGUGAGCUUUAAUGAUUCUAUGAUUCUGCUUCUUUACAAAUUAGGAGCUGUCUCAUCCUGCUUUUAUUUGCUAUCACAUAAUGCUUGAGGCUGUCAAAAGUAUUAUGGUACAUACUCAUAUAAAUUGAUAUUUAAUUUCAGUAAUUAUAAUGUCACUAAUUGUAUUUUUGCACCUGUUGCAAUUACUGACAUUCAGCUCUUUAGCUCUACUUUGUUCUUUCUAGAUUUAGGCAUUCCUUACUCUUUAAUCUUCCCUGCCUAUGGUAAAUCGUAUGCACAAUGAGACUUGGAAAUGAAAGUUCAGACAUUCCCAUCAAUUGCUGUGUGCCAAAUGCAUGGGAUAGUUUAAAACUAUGUGUGUACCUACUGCAGGAUAUGCUUAAAGCGCCAUUGCCUAUUUAUAUGUCUUUUUUUAUGAGGCUUAGAGGCGAUUGUGUUAUCCAAAUAUUGCACAGUUCUUAACUACUUGUACUGGCCCAUUGCUAAAGGUUUUCCAGUUUUUAGGGGCCUUUUUUGGCUUGUGGCCUUUCACUUAAAAUUGCACCAGGGCUGCUCUGGCAGCCCCUUGCACCUGUUUUUUUCUUAGUACUCUCUUCCUCAUAGCCUUGCACUGGUGCAUUUGUUACGUUGUAUUCCCUGGAAAAGGAUUUGCUUCCUAUACCUCAGCCAUCCUCUUGUCCUCUUGCCUCUAUCUCAUUGCAUUGCUCUUGAGUUAUAUAUAAUUCAUAGUCCGCACUGAAGUUCCCACACAGUCUCCACUUGGUGCCUUCAUACCAGUGAAUUCAUAUUAGAACAAAUAUUACAUAUAAUGAGUAAAUAAUAGUAAUUUUAAUGUAGGAUAAGCAAUACCUAAUUACAGACGGGUACAAGGCUUAUCAGCCAAUUAACACGCAACUUUUGUACUUAAUUAAGCAUAAUCCAGUCAGUGCCACUGUUGUCAUCAGACAAAGAUCAUGGAAAGGCAACUUGAGCAGGCUUUAAUGAAGGGUGUAAUUUUACUAGGGAGUGGUUGUCGGUAGGACUGUGAUCCCCUGCUGCACUGGAGCAGACACCCAGGAGAGGAUGGUCACCUGAGGACUCCUGACUUCAUCUCGUCUUGGUUUGCUACAGUUUUCCUUUUAACCUUGAACUUGAUGUAUACCAUCAGCUACAAAACCCAUGAAUAAAGCUUGUGCUUUGUGUCUUUCAA